UAGCCUUUCAGUUAUCAAUAUUUUUUCUUAAAAUUUUAAUAAAUUAAUAAUUAGUAACAAAAUAACCUUCUAAUUUUGACUAAAAAACUUUGGUAUUAUGUAAGUUUACCAUAGAAGAGAUCAUUGGAACUUGAUUCCUUCUUAUUUUUUAUUUGUAGAGUUCAAUGCCUGCUUGCAUUGCAUUCAAUUAUACUUUAAGAAUACCGACUUUUCCUAAAUCCCUAGAGUACGAUCUUGCUAUUAAAUUGUGGAAGAAAUGUGAGCUUAACCACAAUAAUGUGAAAAUAAGUUUUUUUUUAUGUCCUAAAAAUCCAGUGCUUCUAAAGCAAUCGAUCGUAAAUUGCCGUCGCCAAGAUUGGAAACAAACCAAAUGGCCAAGGAUAUGCUUUAAGCACUUCAAAGACUAUGGCAUCAUCAAGCAAAAAGUUAAGUGACUUCUUGUUAGUUGUUCAUGGAGUAGUGCCCCCUAUUUUCCACUUUCCAAUACACUUAAAAAAAGUGAAGUCCCAUCGACGAAUCUUAAAGCGAAGAACUUAUGAAAA
rnacentral:lncRNA from 1 species